rnacentral:rRNA from 1 species
CCGUACACAAAAAUGCACAUACUGUGAGCUCGAUGAGUAGGGCGGGACACGUGGUAUCCUGUCUGAAUAUGGGGGGACCAUCCUCCAAGGCUAAAUACUCCUGACUGACCGAUAGUGAACCAGUACCGUGAGGGAAAGGCGAAAAGAACCCCGGCGAGGGGAGUGAAAAAGAACCUGAAACCGUGUACGUACAAGCAGUGGGAGCACGCUUAGGCGUGUGACUGCGUACCUUUUGUAUAAUGGGUCAGCGACUUAUAUUCUGUAGCAAGGUUAACCGAAUAGGGGAGCCGAAGGGAAACCGAGUCUUAACUGGGCGUUAAGUUGCAGGGUAUAGACCCGAAACCCGGUGAUCUAGCCAUGGGCAGGUUGAAGGUUGGGUAACACUAACUGGAGGACCGAACCGACUAAUGUUGAAAAAUUAGCGGAUGACUUGUGGCUGGGGGUGAAAGGCCAAUCAAACCGGGAGAUAGCUGGUUCUCCCCGAAAGCUAUUUAGGUAGCGCCUCGUGAAUUCAUCUCCGGGGGUAGAGCACUGUUUCGGCAAGGGGGUCAUCCCGACUUACCAACCCGAUGCAAACUGCGAAUACCGGAGAAUGUUAUCACGGGAGACACACGGCGGGUGCUAACGUCCGUCGUGAAGAGGGAAACAACCCAGACCGCCAGCUAAGGUCCCAAAGUCAUGGUUAAGUGGGAAACGAUGUGGGAAGGCCCAGACAGCCAGGAUGUUGGCUUAGAAGCAGCCAUCAUUUAAAGAAAGCGUAAUAGCUCACUGGUCGAGUCGGCCUGCGCGGAAGAUGUAACGGGGCUAAACCAUGCACCGAAGCUGCGGCAGCGACACUAUGUGUUGUUGGGUAGGGGAGCGUUCUGUAAGCCUGUGAAGGUGUACUGUGAGGUAUGCUGGAGGUAUCAGAAGUGCGAAUGCUGACAUAAGUAACGAUAAAGCGGGUGAAAAGCCCGCUCGCCGGAAGACCAAGGGUUCCUGUCCAACGUUAAUCGGGGCAGGGUGAGUCGACCCCUAAGGCGAGGCCGAAAGGCGUAGUCGAUGGGAAACAGGUUAAUAUUCCUGUACUUGGUGUUACUGCGAAGGGGGGACGGAGAAGGCUAUGUUGGCCGGGCGACGGUUGUCCCGGUUUAAGCGUGUAGGCUGGUUUUCCAGGCAAAUCCGGAAAAUCAAGGCUGAGGCGUGAUGACGAGGCACUACGGUGCUGAAGCAACAAAUGCCCUGCUUCCAGGAAAAGCCUCUAAGCAUCAGGUAACAUCAAAUCGUACCCCAAACCGACACAGGUGGUCAGGUAGAGAAUACCAAGGCGCUUGAGAGAACUCGGGUGAAGGAACUAGGCAAAAUGGUGCCGUAACUUCGGGAGAAGGCACGCUGAUAUGUAGGUGAAGUCCCUCGCGGAUGGAGCUGAAAUCAGUCGAAGAUACCAGCUGGCUGCAACUGUUUAUUAAAAACACAGCACUGUGCAAACACGAAAGUGGACGUAUACGGUGUGACGCCUGCCCGGUGCCGGAAGGUUAAUUGAUGGGGUUAGCGCAAGCGAAGCUCUUGAUCGAAGCCCCGGUAAACGGCGGCCGUAACUAUAACGGUCCUAAGGUAGCGAAAUUCCUUGUCGGGUAAGUUCCGACCUGCACGAAUGGCGUAAUGAUGGCCAGGCUGUCUCCACCCGAGACUCAGUGAAAUUGAACUCGCUGUGAAGAUGCAGUGUACCCGCGGCAAGACGGAAAGACCCCGUGAACCUUUACUAUAGCUUGACACUGAACAUUGAGCCUUGAUGUGUAGGAUAGGUGGGAGGCUUUGAAGUGUGGACGCCAGUCUGCAUGGAGCCGACCUUGAAAUACCACCCUUUAAUGUUUGAUGUUCUAACGUUGACCCGUGAUCCGGGUUGCGGACAGUGUCUGGUGGGUAGUUUGACUGGGGCGGUCUCCUCCUAAAGAGUAACGGAGGAGCACGAAGGUUGGCUAAUCCUGGUCGGACAUCAGGAGGUUAGUGCAAUGGCAUAAGCCAGCUUGACUGCGAGCGUGACGGCGCGAGCAGGUGCGAAAGCAGGUCAUAGUGAUCCGGUGGUUCUGAAUGGAAGGGCCAUCGCUCAACGGAUAAAAGGUACUCCGGGGAUAACAGGCUGAUACCGCCCAAGAGUUCAUAUCGACGGCGGUGUUUGGCACCUCGAUGUCGGCUCAUCACAUCCUGGGGCUGAAGUAGGUCCCAAGGGUAUGGCUGUUCGCCAUUUAAAGUGGUACGCGAGCUGGGUUUAGAACGUCGUGAGACAGUUCGGUCCCUAUCUGCCGUGGGCGCUGGAGAACUGAGGGGGGCUGCUCCUAGUACGAGAGGACCGGAGUGGACGCAUCACUGGUGUUCGGGUUGUCAUGCCAAUGGCACUGCCCGGUAGCUAAAUGCGGAAGAGAUAAGUGCUGAAAGCAUCUAAGCACGAAACUUGCC